CCCUUAGACGUUCUGGGCCGCACGCGCGCUACACUGACCAGUGCAACAAGCAUCCGUCCUUGGCCGACAGGCUCGGGCAAUCUUUGAACGCUGGUCGUGAUGGGGAUAGACUUUUGCAAUUUUUGGUCUUCAACGAGGAAUUCCUAGUAAACGCAAGUCAUCAACUUGCAUUGAUUACGUCCCUGCCCUUUGUACACACCGCCCGUCGCUCCUACCGAUUGAAUGGUCCGGUGAAAUCUCGGGACGGCGGCUUGGUCGCUUGCGUCCGACUGCUGAAACUUGAUUAAACCAUAUCAUUUAGAGGAAGGUGAAGUCGUANCA
rnacentral:rRNA from 1 species